UAACAGGAUUCCCCUAGUAACUGCGAGUGAAGCGGGAAAAGCUCAAAUUUAAAAUCUGGCAGCCUUCGGUUGUCCGAGUUGUAGUCUGGAGAAGUGUUUUCCGCGCUGGACCGUGUAUAAGUCCCUUGGAAUAGGGCGUCAUAGAGGGUGAGAAUCCCGUCUUUGACACGGACUACCAGUGCUUUGUGAUGCGCUCUCAAAGAGUCGAGUUGUUUGGGAAUGCAGCUCAAAAUGGGUGGUAAAUUCCAUCUAAAGCUAAAUAUUGGCGAGAGACCGAUAGCGAACAAGUACCGUGAGGGAAAGAUGAAAAGCACUUUGGAAAGAGAGUUAAACAGUACGUGAAAUUGCUGAAAGGGAAACGCUUGAAGUCAGUCGCGUUAUGCAGAACUCAGCCUGGCUUUUGCUUGGUGUAUUUUCUGUAUGACGGGUCAGCAUCAAUUUUGAUCGCUGGAAAAAGGCCUCAGAAAUGUGGCACCUUCGGGUGUGUUAUAGUCUGGGGUCAUAUACAGCGGUUGGGAUUGAGGUCUGCAGCACGCCUUUAUGGCUGGGGUUCGCCCACAUUCGUGCUUAGGAUGCUGGCGUAAUGGCUUUAAACGACCCGUCUUGAAACACGGACCAAGGAGUCUAACAUGCCUGCGAGUGUUUGGGUGGAAAACCCGAGCGCGUAAUGAAAGUGAAAGUUGAGAUCCCUGUCGUGGGGAGCAUCGACGCCCGGACCAGACCUUUUGUGACGGAUCUGCGGUAGAGCAUGUAUGUUGGGACCCGAAAGAUGGUGAACUAUGCCUGAAUAGGGUGAAGCCAGAGGAAACUCUGGUGGAGGCUCGUAGCGAUUCUGACGUGCAAAUCGAUCGUCAAAUUUGGG
rnacentral:rRNA from 1 species